UUGUGUUUGCAGAAGUGUGUGUUGUGUUGGUGUUUAGUUGCUGGGAUGUCUGUACAUGUGCUGCCACAUACAUACUUACACAUUAACAAACAGAAACACACCGACACAUACACAGUCAUAUACACACAGACACACACAAACACAGACACACACACCUUGACACACAGAUACACAGACCGGCACAUACAAACACAGACACACACAACUUGACAUGCAGAUACACACUAGCACACAGAUACACACACUGACACAUACACACUGACACAUACAGGCACACAGAUACACAUACCUUGACACACAGACACACACACUUACACAGAUACACACACCUUGACACACAGAUACACAGACCGGCACAUACAAACACAGAUACAUGCUGACACAUACAGACAGACAUACACAACUUGACACACAGAUCCACACACUGACAGAUACACACUGACACAUACAGGCACAUAGAUACACACACUGGUACAAAGAUACGCACACUGACACACAGACACUCAUACCUUGACACACAGUGUGUAUCUGUGUGUGUAUGUAUUUGUGUAUCAAGGUGUGUGUAUCUGUGUGUCAAGUUGUGUAUAUCUGUGAGUAUGUGCCGGUCUAUAUCUGUGUUUGUAUGUGCUGGUGUGUGUAUCUGUGUCUCAGUGUGAAUCUGUGUGUGCAUGUAUCUGACACACAGAUACACA